CCUACGGGGCGCUGCAGUGGGGGAUAUUGCACAAUGGGGGGAACCCUGAUGCAGCGACGCCGCGUGGGUGAAGGAGCGUUUCGGCGCGUAAAGCCCUAUCGGCAGGGAAGAAGGAGGACGGUACCUGACUAAGAAGCCCCGGCUAACUACGUGCCAGCAGCCGCGGUAAUACGUAGGGGGCAAGCGUUAUCCGGAUUUACUGGGUGUAAAGGGGGCGCAGACGGCAGCGCAAGCCAGGAGUGAAAGCCCGGGGCCCAACCCCGGGACUGCUCUUGGAACUGCGCGGCGGGAGGGCAGGAGGGGCAGGCGGGAGGCGUGGUGUAGCGGUGAAAUGCGGAGAGAGCGGGAGGAAGACCAGUGGCGAAGGCGGCCUACUGGGCUUUAACUGACGCUGAGGCACGAAAGCGUGGGUAGCAAACAGGAUUAGAUACCCUUGUAGUC
rnacentral:rRNA from 1 species